rnacentral:rRNA from 1 species
CCUACGGGGAGCAGCAGUAGGGAAUCUUCCACAAUGGGCGAAAGCCUGAUGGAGCAACGCCGCGUGGGUGAAGAAGGUCUUCGGAUCGUAAAACCCUGUUGUUAGAGAAGAAAGUGCGUGAGAGUAACUGUUCACGUUUCGACGGUAUCUAACCAGAAAGCCACGGCUAACUACGUGCCAGCAGCCGCGGUAAUACGUAGGUGGCAAGCGUUAUCCGGAUUUAUUGGGCGUAAAGGGAACGCAGGCGGUCUUUUAAGUCUGAUGGGAAAGCCUUCGGCUUAACCGGUGUAGAGCAUUGGAAACUGGGAGACUUGAGUGCAGAAGAGGAGAGUGGAACUCCAUGUGUAGCGGUGAAAUGCGUAGAUAUAUGGAAGAACACCAGUGGCGAAAGCGGCUCUCUGGUCUGUAACUGACGCUGAGGUUCGAAAGCGUGGGUAGCAAACAGGAUUAGAUACCCGUGUAGUC